rnacentral:piRNA from 1 species
UGAAAUCUACAAACUACAAACACCAAA